AUGCUGCGUGCACAGAACAAUAUUGUGGGUUGUGCACCGUCUGACAUCACAAUGCCAGGGCGUGUAAUGCCACGGAGCAAAAGGGGGAUACUGCCAAUAUAUUUCCAUGAUGCAGCAUGUGCUGCACCACGCAGCACCAGAGCCACUGACACAACACUGAGGCAAGCGUCAUGCCAGCAGCAAGAUGUGGCAAAACAUGGGCGAGGGCGAGCUAAACCCAGUCGCCGCCCACGAAGCAAAGAGACUGUCCUGUCCAACCAAAGACAGGCCUUGUUUGUUUCUUUCUCCCCUUUCUCUCUCUCUCUCCCUAUUAUCUGUACCAGGAUGCUGCUGUGGUUUGCCGUGCCGGGCUGUCAGCCAAAGAGAGGACAGCUGCCACCGAGAAAACCGCUGAGACUCCUGACUACCGAUGACAGGGCACACUACCCCAGCACUGUAACCGAAUACAGCUGUACAAGGUUCCGAUGGAGAGAGGACUCCCUCACUCACACUGAGGCCGAUGUCAAACACCUGUUCAGCCAACAUGAGAAAGUGACGGUUACACAAAUGGAGUUAGGUGGACACCACCACCGCUCCAAACAGUUCCCGGGAGCUUUGCUUAGAGCCGCUGCUGCCGCCAGAAUGUUUAACAUUGUUAUGUCCAGUGUCAAUGCAGCGAACCAGACUGUAAACUCCUUGAAACCACUGUUUACUGUCUUCCAGAAGAACUUUACCCAGACUCAGCUGCUUACAGCGUUAACAACAGACAUGCUGUGGGAGGUUAGCUCCUCCAAUGACAGCCUAACCACGAGUAAAACCCCACCAUACAUGAUACCCUUAAGCCUCGUGUUAACUGUGUUGCCUUACACCAUCACCAUGCCAGCUGACCUGCUACGAAUGCACCUGGCCAACUCUCUGAAUAGCGCCUUCCUACGGCACGUAAACCCCAAACAGAGAGAAGUGAACGUGCUCCUGAACCAACUCAUCAGCGAGUCAAGCCAAGUCUACAGACCUAAAGACAUUGUCAGUGUCAGGAUGUGGAAGAGCAACACCCACACCAAAACACACAUUCCAAAUGUGGUGGCCUACCACGACAGCAACACACAGCUGUACCUGGCCCCAAACAUGCACAUGUGUACUUUAACCAAAGACAUUCAUUAUCUCUGCCUUAGCAAACCCUUCCUCAGACACAACUCUGAAGGAAUCUGCGAGCUGCAACCCUGGGUCAGCGAUACGCGCUGCCCUGCCGAAGCCAAGCCUCGUACACAAGUCACAGAAACGCAAGCAGAGAUUGUGGGUAACAGAUGGCUCGUCAACACUCCUGUGCGCUCAGCUAUGCUGACCUACGACCAGCAUGACACCGCCACCCGUGCCAACCUGCUGGACCAAGUACUGAAAGGUACCACCCAACACAUUGACAUUACUCCUGUCGAUACAGCCCUCCAAGCACUGUCUCGACAGCCCAUUCUGAACCAGUCAUCUGCGGUCCUAGCCUGGACUGCUGCCGACACUGCACGGUGCAUCUUCACCGUCAUUGGUCCCACCCUGACUCUUGGCGUGACCUUCAUCCUAUACAGGAUACUCAACGAGAUGCAAACCUCUACAGCCAAACUCACGACAACUGUGGCUGGAGGUCUCCGAUGGAAUCCCCGGAAAAGGGACGCAAAGUCAAAGACAAUACCGAACCUCACCAAGCUGAAUCCUCAGCUUCAGGAACCACCUGUCAUCAUGACCCACCUGCUGCAUGACCAUCACGAUUCACCUGUCAUCUGCCCAUCCGGAUGA
ensembl:lncRNA